rnacentral:lncRNA from 1 species
CCCUGCCCGCUCUACCAGAAGCCAGCAAACUCUAGCCUGUGGGCCACAUCGGGCCCACCACCUGCUUCAUGCCUCUCACAAGCCAAGAAUAUAUUUUGCAUUUUCAAAUGAUAGAAGAAAAAUCAAAAGAAGGCAAUUUAAUGGCAGACAAAUAGUGACACAUUUAAUGCAAAUUACCUGAAAUUAAAACUUCAUUGUCCAUAAAUAAGUUUAUUUUUUUUUUCUUUUUCAGCCACACCUGCUGUACAUGGAAGUUCCCAGGCCAGGGAUCAAAUCUGAGGCAGAUUGUGGCAACAACCUAAGCCACAGCUACAGCAACACCAGGUCCUUAACCCACUGCAGCACAGUGGAGACUCCCACAAAUAAUGUGUUAUCGGAACCCAGCCAUGCUUCUUUGUUGAUGCAGUCUGUAGUUGCUUCUGCAUCACAGUGGCAAGGCUGAUAGGUCUGAGAGGAGACGAAGGCUUGCAUGACCCACGAAGACUAAAAUGUUUGCAACCUGACCUUUUCCAGGAAAAAAAAAAAAAGUUUGCCAAUCCCUGUCUGUACAGUUGGAGGCUUUUAGUAACACGUUCCCACGCUGUCAAAUGGAUUUCCUGGAUGGACACGGCCUAGGCGUGGCUCCAUUUACAAUGAUUGGGAGGGUCCGGGUAGUUCUGAGCAUUUUCCAGUUUGAAAACUGGGCUUCGGGCAGGGCGUGGAGUCAGGCAGACAUCUCACCUGAAGGGCCUGGGGAGUCACACAGGUGUGAAAGGACUGGCCGGGUUGGCGGUGGCUUCACCUUCGGGAGGAGACCAGAGGAAAGCGCCCCUGAUGAAGCCUUUGCUUUCACGGGUGCCGUUCUUUUUAAUUAGGGUGUGGGCUGGUGAAGCCCAGCUCCACCCCAGAGGCAGCAUGAGAAGGGGGUGGAAUCCAUCAGACAUCAAACAAAUGGCUUUGGAUGAGAGCAUCUCACCGGCAGCACAUAUCUAAUCGUGGGGCUCAUCGCUCCCCACGGGAGCUCAGGAAAUCAAGAUGCGAUUCGAGAUGGCAUUUCCAACCUCCCCCGGAAAUGGGGGGAAAUCCGUCUUAUUUAUUAAUUCCAUCUUGCCAGCUCCCCAUUUGGUGCAAACAGUUAUGUUUUGCAGCACGUUUCCACCUUGCAACUAGCAGAGUUAAUUUAAUGAAAUGAGUAGUCUUGUGAUGACCUGAAGGGGAAAAACACAUUAAUCUGGAAACUAUCAAAGCCGUCUGACAUGUAUUAUUGUAGGACUCAGAAAAAAUAAACAGUUUAUGUAGAAGAUUAAGUGGCAGUGUGGAUUUGUUUUUGACAUAUCUUGUCUCCAAAUCUAAGUUGGGGAUUUAUUAUGGCGCUAUCAUGUCACAGCUAUCUCAUUUAUAUGAUAACACAUCUGUAAUGUUUUACAAGUGCAGCACUACUUGUUCAAAAUGGGGCUUUUUUAAGUCCUAAAUUAUAGUACCUGGAGAGGCAUGCGUAAUUAUAGUGCAUGUUAGCAAAUGAGAGGGUGCCUUUUCCACCCGCACUCAGCAUUAAUCGUCAGCACAGUGGGUGCAAUAAAAUCAUAAUUGCUUCUUCCAAACUUCUCAUCUGAGCUGAGCGGGUCGAAGUCGGUGAUUUGGUGGAGAGAUGCCGACUGUCACGGUAGAUGAACGCCUCACCCCCAUCCUGGCCGAGAGUCCCUGGAUUGCGUGGUUGCAGAAGGCUCUAGUUCAGGCAGAAAGCCAGACCCCACCAGGGCUGCAUAUUGAGGUCCCCUGAUCUCAAUUAUACUCUCAAAUCAGGGUAUCAAAAAACACUGUAGAAUGAACAGCAAUGAUGGCGGUCCUGGUUUGGGGAACUGGGUUUGGAUGCGAGCUCCGCUUUUUCCGUUUUGGACAAGUUGGCUCACAUCUCUGAACAGUGGUUUUUCUCCUCUGUAAAUGAAAGAUGGAGGCCUCUAGCUCAAAGUGUUCUUAAGAUGAUGAACAACGUUUAUAAAGCACAAAAUACCCACGUGAUGAAAUUAGGCAUCAUUCCAGUUCUCACCGAAAGAUCACGCCUCAGCCUUUGCCGUCCAGGAUGGCUGCCACAGACCGUCUGUGGCUCUAGAGUUCUUGAAACCUGCCUGCCUGGUGGAGAAGGGCUGCACAUACAAACUACACUCCCGUCUGGGAAGAUUAAUUAUGAAAAAGAAUAUAAAAUACAUCAAUAACAUUUUAUAUGGAUUACAUUUUAGAGUGCUAAUGUUUUGGCUGUAUUGGCUUAAAGAUAUUAAAAUGAGUUCCACCUGUUUCUUUUUACUUUUUAUUGUGACUAGAACAUUGAAAAUUAUACAAAAGGCUCAUAUUAUGGUUUUAUGGGACAGCACUGGUCUAAACAGAUGACUGCUGACUGAAAUGUGAUGUUGAGUAUGUGUUUUGAGUUGCAACUCAGGGUUCCUGGUUUCAGUAUUAUUGUUCUCAUUGAUUUAGGCGCAGCAUAUGUUGGGAAAAAAAAAUUUAGUGUAUUUGCUCGAGAGCAAUGGAGGAUGGCAAUGAGCCACCUGAUGGACUGCAAGCUCCCUGGCAGCAAAGGCAAAAACAGCACAUACGCGGAUCACAUGUCUCUUUUUCAAAGGCGGAGGGUUCCUAUAAGUUCCUUUGAAAAGCAAGGCUUCCUCCUGGUGCAGAAUUCUCCGAAGGCCGUGGAAUUGCAGACACACCUCCCUCCACCUCUCCAUCCUCCCCACACAAAACUUGUGCGGACCUAGAAGGCUGUGACUCAUCUGAACGCAGUAAUGACGCCUCCCUUGGUUUAUGUAAACGAUCUGGUCUGAUCCUUGCAGCAGCCCUGCAGGGUGGGCUGUGCAAGGACUAUUGUUCAUUUUUCACGAAUCAGGAACCUGAGGAUCAGGUAGGGCCUCAGGGCCUCGUUCCAGUUGUCAUCGCCAGUAAGUGGCGAGGCCAGGGCUGGCUCGUGGCCCCAAGUGGACACUCCCUCGGCUCCUGGCAGUCAUGUACACCCUAGUGUGAAAGAAAGCUCAGAGGAGUGACUGAUGGGAGAGUGCAGGGGUGUCAGGGCCCCUUACGAGAAAGGGGACCCACAAGCAGCUGGGGGCUCGGGCACUCUAAGGACAAACUUCACUCUAGCCAGAGAGACCAGGUCACUGUUUAUACACACGCAUUCCUUUAUUUUCCUCCCUGCGGCUCGCCCAGCUCAGCAUAUCCUCUGCCUGGGCCCCAGGGGACCGCUGACAGCAGCGCACAUUAACUCGCUCACCUCUGGGCUUGGCUCUGACCCUAACGCACACACCACACCAGUCCUCUGGGACCUUGUCCCAGCGCAGACUUCAUCCAGAGGCCUGGGGAGGUGGCUGAGCGCUCGCACGUCUCCCAGGCUGUCCAAGGAGUAGAGCACUGAUUCUCAGCCUUGGCUGUAAACGAAAAUCUCCUCGGAGGCUUCUGAGCAAACCCCACGCCUGAGACCCACUCUAGGUCAGUGACGUGAAACAGUUCCUGGGUGUGGGGCUCCCAGUUCCAUGAUCUUCUCGUCUCCCGAAUGCUCAAGAAUGGGUCACGUUAGACGACUCACUUUGUGAACAGCGGGAUCAGGAAGCUUAGAUACCUUCUCCCCGCCAGCAGUUGCCCGGGUACCCCACAUCUGAGCACUGGUUAUGCUGAGAGUCUUUUCCCCCUUUUCCCCCUAAAACAAGGUCUCCCACACCACCCAGUCCUUGAAUUCAUCCUUGAAUUCUUCUCUUGAGUUGCCACCUGCCUGCAAUGCACAGACCUCCCUAGGGCUGCAGCAGGCAAGGUGCUGGCUUUCUCUGCAUUUGCAUUCAGGUAGGUUAAUUGCUGAUGUAGGUGUGACCAAGAAGAGUGACAGAGCCAUUUCAGCGAGUCAUAAGUACCAAUGACAGAAGUCAUGGCACUGACGGCGCUCGAUGCUGAUGACUUCUGUGGGGUGAACUCAGUUCCACAAAAUGUUGGCUGGAAAACAUGUGUAAAGAGAAGGCUCUCUGGCAAGGGGGUGGCCCUCCGGAGAGGAUUUUCUUUUUCCUGUCCUGUGAGAUGCUUGCCUUGACUCUAAGCCCGAAAUGCCCGAGUCAGCUCAGCCGACGUCCACGUCGUGACCAAAGAAGAUGCUGCGGGAAGUUGGGGGACUAGGGACCAGCCUCAUGAAAAGCUGAGGAGGAUUCUAGUAGCAGGGGACCCCGAGCUCACGGGUUGUGCUGGCCACCAGGACCCCAAUGUUGGGACAUGAGCUCUUUCAACGGGGGCAGCUUUUAGAAACAUUGUCAGAGAAUUGGAGAAACAUCUCGAUUUUGGGGCCCCCUGCCAACCUGGUUCACCAAAAUCUGCAGGGUGGGAUAUGAGUGUCUGCAGAUGGAUGUUAAGAGCAGCUGGCAUGACUGAUGCAACCCCUAGAUUGAGAAGCCCCCGUCUAGACCUCCAGGGCAGUGACAAUAACCAAACCUAAAAGAUGCAUUGUCGGGCCUCCUCUCUGCCCAACAAAUAGCUCACAUCGCCUCUCUAAAGUACAGGCCCGGUCGUCAACGCAGCCUCCAGCAUUCCCGGGUCACUCCCUUUCUUUUCCUUUUGAAUAAACAGCUGGCGAACAUGACAUCAAUUUAACUGUAAUGACUGCUUUUAAUUUUCAUUUUAAAUCUAUACCAUUACUAUAUAUUGGGAUCCCGGCUGGUGCCAACUGCUCCGGCCACACGUCUGGUUUUCAUUUAGUCUCUGAGUUCCUUUUGGGUAGUUGUGUUCAGAGGCCUGGUUUAAUGCAUAACCGUAAUUGCAGUGUGGAAUUAAGUUGGUGCUGACUGUAGCGUUUUCAGCCUUAGAAUCAAGGAAAGUAUCUAAUAGGGGGGGAAAGAAAAGCCUCUCCAGGGUUCCGCCCCUCCAGGGCCUUAUCUUUAUAAAUUUUUUACAUUCAACUUUUUUUUUUAAUUGAGUGCAUAAUAUGGCUAUAAAACAGCAGUUGAGAUAAUGCGGUCAGCCUGCUGGUUUAUAUAUGUCUCUUCUCGGUUUCAGAAUGUCCCCUUCUCUUCUCCCCUGUCUGACACUGGCCUCGUUUCUCAUUAAAAAUGCUGGCAGCUGGGAAGUGAGGACAGAAAGGCAGGCUGAGGUCCUUCUCCCAAGUUGAGUUCGGCACUGAGUGGCUCCUGGAACCCUCAAAGCUUUUGAGGGAGGCUGCGUUUGCCAGCUAAUCGUUAUUUCCAACAAUUGUUGGCUGGCGAUCCCCGGUGAGAAGGAUUAAAUGCAGUGUUUUCACAUCCAGUGUAUAAGGGGAAAAAAAGAUUCUUCUCUGCGAUGGCUUGAUGAACUAGGACGGGGCCACAAGGGUGAAAACUUGCCCGUGUUUCUAGUUCAUGGGAAGAUGCAGCUCAAAGGAGAUGCGGAAGGGAGAUUGAGCAGGGGAUGGCGAGGAAGCGGAGGUGGUCGGCUGUCUUGGGCUGGGAGGGAGGGAAAAUUAGGACCAGUAACACUGCCCAACCUGGGCCUUGAUGCAUAAUCCUCACUCUACAAAACGUUUGCCGAUUGCAAGGUGGUCAUUGGCGUGGAUGCGUUGGUGCUCCUCCACGUUAAUUCCCUUCCCUUGGCUUCUUUCUUCCCUUUGCCUCGUCAUGCACUCAUUCGAUAUGCUGUUUGUUGAGCAAUUGCUGUACCAGGUGCUGGGGCUGUGGGAAACCUCGGAGAUAACACAUGAGCAAGAGAGCCAUGUCCUGCCUUCCUGGACCUUCUGGUCUAGCGAUAAAUGACGGAGAAUCCAGGUGGUUCUUGAAGGAGCAGGGAGAGAUGCUGCUGGGUACCAGCAAGUGUCUGACCCAGGUUGAAGUGGCUCAGUCCCCGCCCAAACCAUCAGCACAUGGUCCCCCCUGAUCACGUUUUCCUGGCCUCAUGCCUGAGGCUUGACUUGGAGGCUGAUGUGAGGUUAUCACCUGGGAAAUUUUGUGUUUGCCGAAAGGAUAUUGUGGGAGAAUAUUCUGAGGCUACUGCGGUUUCCUUUUAUGUAGACCCACAGCAGAGGUUUCUCUCUGGUCUCCAUACCAGGAAAUGCUCUACUUCUCCUGUGGGGUACCUCAGGGGCAGUGCCAGCUUUGUCACUGAAGAUGUGGGUUUCCGUGGAGAGCUAGGAUUUGCACCUCACUUUUGAAAACCACACCACAUCGUAGCGUGAACUGUUGAUCAGUCCAUACUAACCUGAUGAUAGUAUUUCUACACCCUUAUUUUAUCAUUUUACCCUAUUCCUUUAUUUAAUUACUUUAUGUUUUAUCUUUUUUUUUUUUUUUUUUUUUUUUUUUUUUUAAGAAACCAUCUCACAUCCACCAGGAACAAGGAAAUGAGGGAGGGAGGCAGAAGUUUGGUUUCUGCUGAGAACUUCCAGGCUAGUUGAGGAGCAA